AUUCCAGCUCCAAUAGCGUAUAUUUAAGUUGUUGCAGUUAAAAAGCUCGUAGUUGGAUUUCGGUUGAGAACGGCCGGUCCGCCGUUUGGUGUGCACUGGCUGGUUUCAACUUCCUGUAGAGGACGUACUCUGGGUUAACGCUCGGAUACGGAGUCUACGUGGUUACUUUGAAAAAAUUAGAGUGUUCAAAGCGGGCUUACGCUUGAAUAUUUCAGCAUGGAAUAACACUAUAGGACUCCUGACCUAUUUCGUUGGUCUCGGGACGGGAGUAAUGAUUAACAGGGACAGUCAGGGGCACUCGUAUUCCGCCGAGAGAGGUGAAAUUCUCAGACCAGCGGAAGACGAACCACUGCGAAAGCAUUUGCCAGGGAUGUUUUCAUCA
rnacentral:rRNA from 1 species